rnacentral:lncRNA from 1 species
AUAAAAAUUGCAUAUAAAUUUGAUAAAAUAUUACAUAAUCCAAGGAUUUGUGUAUACAAAUCCUUGCAUAAUCUGACAAAACCUAUCACAAAGCUUCAUGGGGCUAGGAUGAAAAACUUUGUCCUGCCUUUUUUUUAGUUGUAAUCUCUGUCCUGCCUUUUUAUUUUUCACUCUAUUCGGUCCUGCAUUUUUUUUAUUAGUAUAUCCGGACUUUUUUUUUUUACAUAAAUUGUCAUCAUGCCUUUUUUUUUUUAACUCAAAACUCCUGUCCUGCCUGUUUUGUCAAAUUUCAUCCUAUCCCUCAAUAAAAAUUAAAUGGUAACUCCCUUAAAGUUAAUUUGAUUACAUAUGGCGUUGUCACAAUGUCAAUAAUCUUGGUGCUAGUUUUUAACAUUUAAAUUAUUUGACUUCAAUAAUCACACAAGGUAUUCAGAUCCAAAAUCCGCGGAGGGAUCCGAAACAUGAGGAGCAAUUACACGAGAAUGCAUUCGGUGGACAGGUAAAAUCUGGAUCCGAUUCGGUUCCAGAUUUUACUUCGCUGCCGUUUGCGUCCUCGUAUAAUUGCUCCUCGGGAUUCAAAUCUUUCCGCGGAUUUCAGAUUGGGAUACCCGGUGUGACAAUUGAAUCAAGCAAACUACUGCAACACAUUAGUUUAGAAUGUCUUUAUUUUGAAGCAAACAAUGAAUGUUAAAUUGUAAUGUAAAAAAAACAACAACAUGAUUUUCAAAAGACUGUCUUAAAUUCUUUUAUUUUGUGUUAGUUCAUACCAUAAAAAAACCUAUGAGCAAGCAAAGUAAAAAAACUAUGGCCUAAAGUCAGAUAACUUCACAAAAGCUCUAAAGUUUAUGAACAGAGACCACAAUGCCCAUUUAGCAGCUAAGUAUGUCGAUUUGCAUGUUGAUGAAAAAUAAAAGUAUCAUAAAUCAUAAGCGCAUUGAAUGCUCUUUCUAAACAAAGUACAUAGAUUUUGAGAGUGAUCCGACUAGCCCUAAGCAUAAUACAUUUUCUCGAAAUAGACAAUCUUCAACAACUAAUUUUUUAGCGCAUUGGUCUAGGCAUUGUCUCGGGACUUUCAAUACUAAUAUGAAAAUUAAUAUAAUUAAAACUAAAAUUAUGCAUUGUUUUUAUGUGAAUUAUCUCUCGAUAAUCCUUUUUUUAAAUUAAACAAAUGAAAGUAAAACAUAUUUACAAAAGUAAUAACCCGUAAAAAAUCAAUAAUUUUUUGAACUGUUGAAGUCAUCACGAUUAUUGCGCAUAAGUGUUAAUUUAUUCCGUUAAAUUUCUUGAAAAACUCUGCUUAUACAUAUACUGUAAUAUAUACAAUCAUGGAGGUUGGUAAGUGAUAAUUUAGGUCCCAUAAAUUUAAUCCGGUAUUCUCUUUCUAUGUAAUAUUUAGAGGAAAAUGGUUGUUUUUAAUAAUACUACUCGCUUUACUUUACUUGACAGUUGAAAAAAAAAAUGGAUCAGUCUAAUUGAACGACGCCACACUCGCCACCACUUUCAAAAUAAUUUGCCCCUACUAAAUCAAUGAAAACUCGCCCCACCUGAAUUAUAUCACAGUUAUGAUAGUUUCUGAAAUCUUUCCACACACUUGACAUCACUUUCAAAAUUACCCCCAUUUAAAAAACGCAGCUUCCCAGUCUAAUAUUAAUAUAUUGAAUGCAAGUUAAAUAUUGCCUCAUUUCAGGGGACAAUAGAGAAUUUGUUGAAAAAAAUCCUUUUCACAAAGAAUAACAUAUCAGAUGUAGUCAUGAAAAUCAAGCUGAUACAUUUGCAAAUUAAUGGAAACAAGCAUUCUGAGAGUAUUGCAUGGCAAUACAUAGUCCCCUACCGCUUAAGAAUUCAUUGUACUGGAACAAAAUGCUACCUUGUUCUGUAACUUGACAUGGUAUAAACUAUAUAACAAAUAUCAAGUCAAUAUCUUCAAGCAUGACAAACAAAAAAUAUGUGGAAAACUGAUUAUUUGAGUGAAUUUUCUAAGUCCAAGAACCAUAACUCUGCACAAAAUCCUCAGACUGGAACAAAAUUCGAGCUUGAUCUGUA